rnacentral:rRNA from 1 species
GGUUUUAUAGCUAUUAUUUUGAUUUAUUUUUAGGUUUAUGUGCCUUUUGCAUCAUGCUUAAUAGAGAUUACUGCUUAGGUAGUAUACCGAAAAGUUUAGAUAUUUAAUCAAGUUAGUUAGUAGUUCCACGAGUAGUGCGUUUAAAACUUGUUUAAUGUUGUGAUAAAUUAAUCGGUAAACUUUAUAACUGUUUAUAGGUUUUAAUUUUAAUUAUUUUUAUAGCGAAGAGGUUAUAAAGUGUAAAAUGUUAUCUAUUCUAUUAAACUUAAAAUAGGGUUAAAAUUACCUUUAUUUUAUAAAACUGUUACAAGUUUAGUCAGUUAUAUAAUUAACUUUAUUAUUUUACCUAUAGUGUUUAAUGGUUUGGGCUUUAAUAUUGUUAAAUUAGUAAUUAUAUUAGUUUUUUUGUUUCUCAUUCUCAAUUCGUCUGUUUAUUAAAAACAUUUCUAUAAUGUAUAGCUUUUAUAGUAGUGCCUGCUCUAUGUGUUUAUAAAUGGCCGCAGUAUAUUGACUGUGCAAAGGUAGCAUAAUUAAUUGCCUUUUAAUUAAAGGCUUGUUUGAAUGGUUUGACGCAAUUGUAAAAAAACAUAAGAGCUUUUAAUGAAAUUAAUUAUAAGAGUACAGAAUCUUUAUUAGUUAAUUAGACGGAAAGACCCUAGGAUCUUUUUAUUUUGCUUGGGGCAAGUGGGAAUAUUUUAUUCUUUUUUUGAUCCUUAUGGUUUAAAGAUUUAAGUUACCCUAGGGAUAACAGUGUAAUAGUUUAGUAGAGGUCUUAUCGAUUAAACUGUUUGCUACCUCGAUGUUGACUUGGGUUAAUGUUUUGGCGUAGCCGUUAAAAGUUUUGGUCUGUUCGACCAGAUGUACCCCCAUGAGUUGAGUUAAGACCGACGUGAGUCAGGUCGGUUCUUAUCUAUUAUUCUAACUUACUAGUACGAAAGGAGUGUAAGUUAUUUUUGU